GACGAACGCUGGCGGCGUGCUUAACACAUGCAAGUCGAACGGAAAGGCCCUGCUUUUGUGGGGUGCUCGAGUGGCGAACGGGUGAGUAACACGUGAGUAACCUGCCCUUGACUUUGGGAUAACUUCAGGAAACUGGGGCUAAUACCGGAUAGGAGCUCCUGCUGCAUGGUGUGGGUUGGAAAGUUUCGGCGGUUGGGGAUGGACUCGCGGCUUAUCAGCUUGUUGGUGGGGUAGUGGCUUACCAAAGCUUUGACGGGUAGCCGGCCUGAGAGGGUGACCGGCCACAUUGGGAUUGAGAUACGGCCCAGACUCCUACGGAAGGCAGCGGUGAGGAGUAUUGCGCGAUGGGCGGAAGCCUGAUGCAGCAUCGCCGCGUGCGGGAUGACGGCCUUCGGGUUGUAAACCGCUUUCGCCUGUAACGAAGCGUGAGUGACGGUAAUGGGUAAAGAAGCACCGGCUAACUACGUG
rnacentral:rRNA from 1 species